GUCCCCGUGCCCUUGCAGCCCCAUCACCCUUCCGCUUUCUUCUUCCCUCCCUCUUCAAAUAGCGCGGGCCCCUUCCUCUCACCCUAAGACCUCCCCGUAAGACCUCCCCGGCUGCAGUGUCAUCUACUCCCUCGCCUUGCGCCAGCAUUCUCCUUGGAAACUGUCAGUUGGCCCUGCGUCUGGAACCCUUCACCCCUGAAGAGGCACUGCUCUUCGCUCAUCACAGGGGCCCUCAAGCCCUCUCUCCCUAGACCUGUCCAAAGCCACGGACCCCCAACUCAGAGGGUGGAGGAUCCGAUCCAGGAGAUGGGGAAGGCAGACUGCAACCAAGGCGACCAAGGGGAAAGGAAGGGUCUGGCGCGUCUGGGGGCCCUUCUGCGGGACCCAGUCCAUCAAAGCUGCAGCCCUGCCUCAUCUACAAAGAGCCUCAAAGGUCCUGCCUGAUCUUGGCCAAGAUCCGCUUCUUCCUGAAGGACCUGUUGCAUGGACACGACUGCCCUCCACGAUCCCAAGUGUCAGGAAACGGCCACCUGAGUUGUUCAGGCCACUGCCGGAGAUUCUGGAAUAUUAGCCCUGGUGGCCUCAGGGAGGCAUCCGGAGUGACUGCUUAACAUAUGCAGAACUUUGACUGACAUGGUCCAUCCGCUGUCACCGCUCAUUUCAGGGUUCCACCAGCCAAGGUAGGGGUCAGAUUGUUUCCUGUCCCUUUUCAUCUUGUCUCUCUCUUUAUACAAGGUCACGCCAGCCCUGGAAUCAAGGGGACUAAAUCUGAACAGGUGAGCUGAAGACAGCUGAAGGAAUUUAGCUACAUCCUGGUCAAAAGGGUUUUAGUUCUGGC
rnacentral:lncRNA from 1 species